UCAUGAGCUGGGUUUUGGAGAGCAUCUCCAGCAGGUCGAGGGGGAUGUUAUUCCCACUGCCCUGGCCUGGAGAGGCCACAUCUGGAGUGGCUCUGGGAUCCUCAGUCCAAGGGAGGCUUGGAAACACUGCAGUGAGUCUGGUGGAGACAAAGGCAAGCAGGGGAUUGGAGUCUGUGUCAUCCAGGCAGGCUGGGAGAGCUGGGAUCAGUCAUCAGAGAGACUGAGAGAGCUGGGAGAGCUGGGAUCAUUUAUCCAGAGAUCCAGGAGAGGUGGGAUCGUUUAUCCAGAGAGUCUGGGAGAGCUGGGGUCGGCCAGCCUGGAGCAGAGGAUGCAGAGGGAGCUCUUCCCAGCGUGUCCAUGUGCUGGGUGGCAGGGAAUGAAGCAGGAGGAGCCACACUGGUGCUGGUG